rnacentral:rRNA from 1 species
UUCUUUAGGUAACCUGCGGAGGGAUCAUU